CACCGCCCGUCACACCACGAAAGUCGUUUGCACCAGAAGUCGCUAAGCUAACCGCAAGGAGGCAGGCGCCCAAGGUGUGUGCGAUGAUUGGGGUG
rnacentral:rRNA from 1 species